UACAGAGGGUGCAAGCGUUAAUCGGAAUUACUGGGCGUAAAGCGCACGUAGGUGGGUUUGUAAGUUGUUGGUGAAAAGCUUGGGCUUAACCUGGGUCUGUCCAGCAAAACUGCAAGUCUAGAGUGUAUUAGAGGGAAGUGGAAUUUCCGGUGUAGCAGUGAAAUGCGUAGAUAUCGGAAGGAACACCAGUGGCGAAGGCGACUUCCUGGAAUACUACUGACACUGAGGUGCGAAAGCGUGGGGAGCAAACAGGAUUAGAUACCCCGGUAGUCC
rnacentral:rRNA from 1 species